AAGAAAUCGGGUGAAAUUCCAAGAUGAAAGAAAACUUCAGCAGGAAUUCUUUGACAAACAGAGGUUGAAGGCACUUUCCAGCAAGUCCAGCUCAUUUAAGAAGCAACGUAUGAGCCAAGAUCUUCUGGCACUCCAUACUGUCAGCAGGGCUCACUCUCAGUUUCCCGCAGUGAACACAGCAUCACGACGCCCAAUCAAAAAGCUGGACCUGGAAAAGUUCCAAUCCUGCACAAGAAAGAUCGAUGACGUAGACCUAGGACCAUGCUCCCCCUCAACACCGG